rnacentral:rRNA from 1 species
CAGUAGCCGCGGUAAUACGAAGGGUGCAAGCGUUACUCGGAAUUACUGGGCGUAAAGCGUGCGUAGGUGGUGGUUUAAGUCCGUUGUGAAAGCCCUGGGCUCAACCUGGGAAUUGCAGUGGAUACUGGGUCACUAGAGUGUGGUAGAGGGUGGUGGAAUUUCCUGUGUAGCGGUGAAAUGCGUAGAUAUAGGAAGGAACAUCAGUGGCGAAGGCGACCACCUGGACUGAUACUGACGCUGAGGUACGAAAGCAUGGGGAGCAAACAGGAUUAGAUACCCCCGUAGUCCCUGUCUCUUAUAC